GGACUGAAACUCUAUCAUUUAUAGAAAAUUAAUUAAUAAUUAGAUUACUAAUUGACUCAAUUUGGUUGAGUAAAGAGCUUUGGAAUAAGUCUAACUGAAUUAGAUUCAGUUUAACUCAGACUGAGAUUGAUAUGACCAAAUCCUAUUGCAAGAAAAAUUUGAUCUUGAUUCGAUCAGGAUUUGGACUCGACUAAUUUCUAAUUGGGUUAGGAAUUUGAUGAGAUAUUUAGAUUUUUAAUUAGAUUAGAUUUAUUUCUAUCAGUGGUUGCAAUCUAAAUUUGAGUUAGAUUAGAAUUGAAUUAGAAAUGAAGAGUUCAAAUCAAACUAGGACUCUAUCUUUAUCUUUUGUGCCACAUCU
rnacentral:lncRNA from 1 species